rnacentral:lncRNA from 1 species
ACCAACAUGGUCUGUUGAUCCCUUUAGGAGUUAUUGCCCUUAAUAGUCAAUUUUUAACCAUUUUUCGUAAAUCUUAAUUAUCUUUUACAAAAAUCUUCUCCUCUGAAACUACUGGGCCAAAUUAAACCAAACUUGGCCACAAUCAUCAUUGGGGUAUCUAGUUUAAAUAUUGUGUCCGGUGACCCAGCCAACCAAUCAAGAUGGCUGCCAUGGCUAACAAUAGAACAUAGGGGUGAAAUGUAGAUUUUGGCUUAUAACUCUGAAACCGCA